rnacentral:rRNA from 1 species
GUGGGGAAUAUUGGACAAUGGGCGCAAGCCUGAUCCAGCCAUGCCGCGUGAGUGAUGAAGGCCUUAGGGUUGUAAAGCUCUUUCAGUGGGGACGAUAAUGACGGUACCCACAGAAGAAGCCCCGGCUAACUUCGUGCCAGCAGCCGCGGUAAUACGAAGGGGGCUAGCGUUGUUCGGAUUUACUGGGCGUAAAGCGCACGUAGGCGGAUCGUUAAGUCGGGGGUAAAAUCCUGGAGCUCAACUCCAGAACUGCCUUCGAUACUGGCGAUCUUGAGUCCGGAAGAGGUGAGUGGAACUCCUAGUGUAGAGGUGGAAUUCGUAGAUAUUAGGAAGAACACCAGUGGCGAAGGCGGCUCACUGGUCCGGUACUGACGCUGAGGUGCGAAAGCGUGGGGAGCAAACAGGAUUAGAUACCCUUGUAGUCC